rnacentral:lncRNA from 1 species
GUUUCCUCCGUAGCUUCCAACGUCACCUCCUCCUUAGCCACCUCCCUCACGGCCACCACUACCGUAUCCUUUUCCACCACAACCUCUGCUAUGUCUCUCGUAAUCACCACCGCCUCCUCCAUUUCCGCCACCACCUCCUCCGUAUUCAUUACCGCCUCCGCUGCGGUAUCUGCCACCACCUCCACCACGGGUUCCUCCACCGCCUUGAGCAAAUGGGUGGCUGUGAGACCUCCAUCUCCAAGACCUUAUGGACAUGGCACUUUGGUUUCUUUCCAAACCACGGUUAAUCGAAUCUCCUGUUAUUAUGAACAUGGUAUAUAGAAUGGAUAUGAAUCAAUAAAAGGUUUCUGAAUGGAUAUAUAUAAAUAGACUCGUUAUUAUGGACAUCAAAAAAUUGUUUGUUGAUUUUUCUUUCAGUUUGUAGAGACCUCCACUUCCAAGACCUUAUGGACAUGGAACUUUGGUUUCUUUACAAACCACGAUUAAUCGAAUCUCUUGUUAUUAUGGACAUGGUAUAUAGAAUGGAUAUAGAUUGGUAAAAAGGUUUCCGAAUGGAUAUAUUU